GACGAACGCUGGCGGCGUGCUUAACACAUGCAAGUCGAACGGAAAGGCCCUGCUUUUGUGGGGUGCUCGAGUGGCGAACGGGUGAGUAACACGUGAGUAACCUGCCCUUGACUUUGGGAUAACUUCAGGAAACUGGGGCUAAUACCGGAUAGGAGCUCCUGCUGCAUGGUGGGGGUUGGAAAGUUUCGGCGGUUGGGGAUGGACUCGCGGCUUAUCAGCUUGAUGGUGGGGUAGUGGCUUACCAAGGCUUUGACGGGUAGCCGGCCUGAGAGGGUGACCGGCCACAUUGGGACUGCGAUACGGCCCAGACUCCUACGGGAGGCAGCAGUGGGGAAUAUUGCACAAUGGGCGGAAGCCUGAUGCAGCAACGCCGCGUGCGGGAUGACGGCCUUCGGGUUGUAAACCGCUUUCGCCUGUGACGAAGCGUGAGUGACGGUAAUGGGUAAAGAAGCACCGGCUAACUACGUG
rnacentral:rRNA from 1 species